GAUGAAGAACGUAGCGAAAUGCGAUAAGUAAUGCGAAUUGCAGAAUCCCGUGAACCAUCGAGUCUUUGAACGCAAGUUGCGCCCGAAGCCAUUAGGCCGAGGGCACGCCUGCCUGGGCGUCACACGUCGUUGCCCCCCCAUCUACUCCUUCGGGAUUGCGGGGGGCGGAUGAUGGCCUCCCGUGCGCCUCGUCGCGCGGUUGGCAUAAAUGCCAAGUCCUCGGCGACGCACGCCACGACAAUCGGUGGUUGCGAAACCUCGGUUGCCCGUCGUGUGCGGUCGUCGCGCAUCGAGGGCUCGAAAAAAUUGCCGGGCUCCGGCUCGGCUUUCAACGCGACCCCAGGUCAGGCGGGGUUACCCGCUGAAUUUAAGCAUAUCAAUAAGCGGAGGA
rnacentral:misc_RNA from 1 species